rfam:Astyanax mexicanus Tnplaced_Scaffold2853, whole genome shotgun sequence.
UUUGCUUUUAGCGAAGCUGCUCAUUUCAGUACCAAAAAAAAAAAAAUCUGUUCUUAUCAGUUUAAUAUCUGAUACGCCCUCUAUAUGAGGACUACAUAUUAAAUGGAUUUUUAGAACAGGGAGCCAGAACAGGAGCUUGCUCCUUCUGCUCCACGCAUCGACCUGGAAGAAACGACUGGGUCGUUGGCUAAGUG